rnacentral:rRNA from 1 species
CAGCAGCCGCGGUAAUACGGAGGGUGCAAGCGUUAAUCGGAAUUACUGGGCGUAAAGCGCACGCAGGCGGUCUGACAAGUCAGAUGUGAAAUCCCCGGGCUUAACCUGGGAACUGCAUUUGAAACUGUCAGGCUGGAGUCUUGUAGAGGGGGGUAGAACUCCAGGUGUAGCGGUGAAAUGCGUAGAGAUCUGGAGGAAUACCGGUGGCGAAGGCGGCCCCCUGGACAAAGACUGACGCUCAGGUGCGAAAGCGUGGGGAGCAAACAGGAUUAGAUACCCCUGUAGUCCCUGUCUCUUAUAC